AAGGAUGCGGCCUGUGUAGGCUCCGAGGCGUUUUGACGGCGGAAGUAAAUGAGAUCUGGAAACCGGAUUUUGGGAACACCGGGCCGGAUAACGCUUAUAUCUGUAUAGCCGCUGCUUGACGUGU